rnacentral:hammerhead_ribozyme from 1 species
AUCCAGCUGAACAGUCCCAAAUAGGACGAAAUGCGCGUUCUGGAU